rnacentral:rRNA from 1 species
GACGAACGCUGGCGGCGUGCUUAACACAUGCCAGUCGAACGGAAAGGCCCUGCUUUUGUGGGGUGCUCGAGUGGCGAACGGGUGAGUAACACGUGAGUAACCUGCCCUUGACUUUGGGAUAACUUAAGGAAACUGGGGCUAAUACCGGAUAGGAGCUCCUGCUGCAGGGUGGGGUUUGGAAAGUUUCGGCGGUUGGGGAUGGACUCGCGGCUUUUCAGCUUGUUUGUGGGGUAGUGGCUUACCAAGGCUUUGACGGGUAGCCGGCCUGAGAGGGGGACCGGCAACAUUGGGGCUGAGAUACGGCCCAGACUCCUACGGGAGGCAGCAGUGGGGAAUAUUGCACAAUGGGCGGAAGCCUGAUGCAGCAACGCCGCGUGCGGGAUGACGGCCUUCGGGUUGUAAACCGUUUUCGCCUGUGACGAAGCGUGAGUGACGGUAAUGGGUAAAGAAGCACCGGCUAACUACGUG